AAACUUGUUAUGUCAGAUUGGUAAAGACGAGUCAAUUACCAAUUAAUCUGUAAAAACGCGAUUCAUUCAAAAUAUACGGUAGACUCCAAAAUGCGGUUAUGAAUGGAAGGAAAUAGUGUUUCGUCUCCGAUUGUUUUUGAGCUUUUGGUCGGGAAACUGCAGAGAUGUCAAAGGCUGUCAGGCAUGUGAGAAAUUGGAAUAAUAGAGCAGCAGUGGGCAGCCUACAGACAUGAAUGAGUGAUGGAGAUGAUGGAAUAUAAACCUAGCGUGCAACACAAGAGAAGGACAAAUCAUAUAUACCUCUUGUCUGCCACGUGUGCCGAUCAUAUAUAAGUUUGGCUCUAUCAUGUCCCAAACGUAAACCUACCUGAAGCCAUAGCUUUUGACAUGGAUGUCCUAUAAGUCCAAACUCUUUUUCUUUUCCACUUUUCUUUUUAUUUUCUUAUUUCAUUUUAUUUUUUGAAAGAUUUUAUUUUUAUUUUUUAUAAAGCAUCAAAUAGUACACUAGUAAGUCAUGGAUUCAAAUUUGUCGACCAUCAUAUAUUGAUGGUCAUAGACACCACUAGUACGAAACUGACAUGUGUAAGGGAAUACAUCUACAGUAAUUGCCGAGAUCUUCAAACUUCAAUUUAUCAAAUCUACUCCAUUCUCUCCUAAAUCAUCAAUUCAAUCACGAAACCAAUAGAAACCCUUCGUCCAAGCCCAGUAAUAGCCAGGCCGGGCCCUGUCCGGUCCCUAAUAUUAUGAAAAAAUUGUGGCCCGAAAGCCCGAGAGUAGUAGCUACUAGUCUGUACCAAUAAAGCCCACAUCCCCUCAUCUCAUGUCAAUCACAAUUGUCCGUUACAAUCUCAAGAAAGGAUAAGGAUCAGGUCACCAACUCACCAUCUCUCUCUCUCUCUCUCUCAGUCUAAAUCCAUUGAUCGAGGUCACUCAUCUCUCUCUCCCUCUCCCAUUCUCUAGUUCUAUGUGGAGUAGAUCGCUAAUUAGGGUCACCUAUGGCGAGUUGACUCUGGCUGAACCCAGCUCUGAGGGUCUCCACGGUCUGCAACUGCACGGUCUGCACCUCACCCAUCAUCAACAGCCACCUAGGUGUUCGAUGUUUCUUCUUCUUCUGAUAAUUUUUUCUGAAACUUUCAAUUACCGAGGCCUAGAACAAGGAGGAGGAGAGGAAAGGGGUUGGGUGUGUAUGAUAGAAAGCGAUGGCUCAUAAUGAACUUGGUCAGUGCUCGAUGUUUACAAAUUGAGCUGAGCUGCUAGUCAGUGGUGAAAGUGCAACUUGUGCUGAUCAACGGUGAGAUCAGAUAUGUUGGUGAAUUGGUAAUUGACACGGUCAACGAAAGGAAUUUGGUGGUGAUUGAAAUGGGUGGAGGUGAGAUCAGAUCUCGAACAAGGUAUUAAAGAUUUAGAGGAGACGAUCGAACAAGUGAGAUUAGAUCUCGAAAAGCAAAUUUCGUCGUCCCUUUUUGUUUGGCUUCUUGUUCGACACAUUCUCUUCCCGGUAUCGUGCAGUAGGGCUUUUACCGGUCCCGAUGAUUUUUUUUGCAAAACCCGGUCCGGGUCAACAGCCACCGGGUUGUGCCCUGUCUUUCCAAAAACAUUGCUGGUUUGGACCCGAGCCCAACCCUAAAUAAGGAAAAUAACACAAUAGAUUUUUCUUCCAAAAACUCAGUAUUUUGCAAAAUGAUUUUGAUGCAUAUAUAUAUAUAUAUAUAUAGAGAGAGAGAGAGACUCCUACCUUAACUCGGACUCCUCUACUUGAUCAACUAAAUUAGAGAUACACAAGGAAACUUAAUAAGAAAACAAGAAUGUAGUUAAAGAAAAGAUUAGUUUUACCAAAUCUAGUUUUCAUAACCAGAUAAAUCAACAAAGAGUACUUUUACCAAAUACAAUAAAGAAUUAUUUUAGACAAAUUACUAUUAAUAGUAGAAAACCUAAUUCUUUUACAACGUAUUACUAGUUAAAGGAUAUGAUAUGCAUAGAGAUGCUAGUUUACCUUAUGUGUAUUUGAGAUCGACAGUAAACUUGACAACUCUCCCUUCGUUGGUACUUUUGUUUCUCCUAGUUUGACCAAGGAAACUUCGUUGUGCUUGGAAUUCUGCAGUACUUUCUUUUCUUCGUUUUAAGGUUGUAAUUAUAGUGCCAUAUAUUNNNNNNNNNNNNNNNNNNNNAUUUUCUUACCAAAACUACAGUUAUUUUGACAAAUAGUAUUUUGUAUGCAUAUAUAUAUAUAUAUAUAUAGAGAGAGAGAGAGACUCACCCUUAAUCGGAUCCUCACUUGAUCACAAAUUGAGAUACACAAGGAAACUUAAUGAAAACAGAAUGAGUUUAGAAAAGAUAGUUUUUCCAAAUCAGUUUUCAUACCAGAUAAAUCACAAAGAGAUUUUCCAAAUCAUAAAGAAUAUUUUAGCAAAUCUAUUAAUAGUGAAACCAAUCUUUUCAACGAUUCAGUUAAGGAUAUGAUAUGCAUGAGAUGCAGUUUACCUUAUGUGAUUUGAGAUCGCAGUAAACUUGCAACUCUCCCUCUUGGACUUUGUUUCUCCUAGUUUGACCAGGAAACUCUUGUGCUUGGAAUUCUGCAGACUUCUUUUCUUCUUUUAGGUUGAAUAUAGUGCCAUAUAUUUACAUCCUAAGCUCAGCUGUCGAACGUAAUUCUCUAGGCAUCAAUGAGUGUUCUCAAAAUAGACUCGAGCCUUGUGUGGCUGGCAUCAUCGAGAAGUACGGCGAAGGAGGAAACUCUGAAACAAAGGGAUCAUCAAAAUAAAUCUAUACAAAAUCUAAUUGCUCUAGGAGGUAGAGGACGUCAAGAGGAUUAGGAAAAUAUCACAUGCAAGUUGUGUCGUCACUAGAGAUCAGAGGAUCGAUGUCGGGUAUGCAACAGGGAUCUCGAGCUUCUCCUCAAGCUCCUGCAUGUAGGUUCUAAGGGUAGGAGGACAACGUUGACUUGUUGAGUCGAACGAUGGCGGUCUGCUAGCCAAAGGCGGCCUCACAGCUACGAUGACAUCGGGUCUCGGAUCCUUGUCACCUCGUAUCUUAAGCUAAAAAUCUAAAUUUAGCUAAGGAUUGCUUCCACCACAAAAUUUCAUUCCAAGAUUUGUCUAAAAAGAUUUGGUAAGCCUUGUUUGGCUUACGGAAGUGGUAAGGUAAAGCCAAAUAUUAUUUUAAUCAGCUUUCAGAGUGGUCUUCUCAACAAUCUUUAAUCUCUCACAAUUACAUAAAUACAAAUUUGUAACUAACAAAAUUUUCUAGAGAAAUUUUAAAUACACACCCCUAAUCUCUUAAUACACACCCCUAUUGUUGUAUGUUUCUAUUGAGAUUUUAUAGGUAAGCUAAAUGACCAAAACAUACAUCUAUUAUUAAAAAAAAAAAAAUACACUCUAGAAGUAUUCUUUUCAACGUCUUCUACCCUAAAAUAGUCGAAAACACGUCUUCUCCC
rnacentral:lncRNA from 1 species